UAAUACGUAGGGGACGAGCGUUGUCCGGAAUUACUGGGCGUAAAGGGCGCGCAGGCGGAUAUUUAAGUCAGCUGUAAAAGGCAUGAGCUCAACUCAUGUAUGCGGUUGAAACUGGGUAUCUAGAGUGCUGGAGAGGUAGGCGGAAUUCCCGGUGUAGCGGUGAAAUGCGUAGAUAUCGGGAAGAACACCAGUGGCGAAGGCGGCUUACUGGCCAGCAACUGACGCUGAGGCGCGAAAGCCAGGGGAGCGAACGGG
rnacentral:rRNA from 1 species